AUGGGUUGGUAAUGGGACUGGUGGAUAGGGGAAGGAUUGGUAAUGGAACUGGUGGAGAGGGGAAGGAUUGGUAAUGGGACUGGUGGAUAGGGAAAGGAUUGGUAAUGGGACUGGUGAAGAGGGGAAGGAUUGGUAAUGGGACUGGUGGAUAGGGGAAGGGUUGGUAAUGGGACUGGUGGAUAGGGGAAGGGUUGAUAAUGGGACUGGUGGAUAGGGGAAGGAUUGGUAAUGGGACUGGUGGAGAGGGGAAAGAUUGGUAAUGGGACUGGUGGAUAGGGGAAGGAUUGGUAAUGGGACUGGUGGAUAUGGGAAGGAUUAGUAAUGGGACUGGUGGAUAGGGUAGGGUUGGUAAUGGGACUGGUGGAUAGGGGAAAGAUUGGUAAUGGGACUGGUGGAUAGGGUAGGGUUGGUAAUGGGACUGGUGGAUAGGGGAAGGAUUGGUAAUGGGACUGGUGGAUAGGGGAAGGGUUGGUAAUGGGACUGGUGGAUAGGGGAAGGAUUGGUAUUGGGACUGGUGGAGAGGGGAAGGAUUGGUAAUGGGACUGGUGAAGCGGGGAAGGAUUGGUAAUGGGACUGGUGGAUAGGGAGAAAGGUGAAGAAGAGAGGGAUUGGAGGGGAAAAGGGAAGAAGAGGAGGAAGAUUGGAGGGAAAAAGGUGAGGAAGAGGAGGAAGAUUGGAGGGAAAAAGGUGAGGAAGAGGAGGAAGAUUGGAGGGAAAAAGGUGAGGAAGAGGAGGAAGAUUGGAGGGAAAAAGGUGAGGAAGAGGAGGAAGAUUGGAGGGAAAAAGGUGAGGAAGAGGAGGAAGAUUGGAGGGAAAAAGGUGAGGAAGAGGAGGAAGAUUGGAGGGAAAAAGGUGAGGAAGAGGAGGAAGAUUGGAGGGAAAAAGGUGAGGGAGAGGAGGAAGAUUGGAGGGAAAAAGGUGAGGAAGAUUGGAGGGAAUUAGGUGAGGAAGAGGAGGAAGAUUGGAGGGAAAAAGGUGAGGAAGAGGAGGAAGAUUGGAGGGAAGAAGGUGAGGAAGAGGAGGAAGAUUGGAGGGAAAAAGGUGAAGAGGAGGAAGAUUGGAGGGAAAAAGGUGAGGGAGAGGAGGAAGAUUGGAGGAAAAAAGGUGAAGAGGAGGAAGAUUGGAGGGAAAAAGGUGAGGAAGAUUGGAGGGAAAUAGGUGAGGAAGAGGAGGAAGAUUGGAGGGAAGAAGGUGAGGAAGAUUGGAGGGAAGAAGGUGAGGAAAAGGAAGAUUUGUUGGAGAAAAAAGAGGAAAAUGGGUUUGGAAAAGAAGAGGAAGAGGAAGUUUGGAGGGAAAAGAAGAGGAAGAGGAAAAUGGGUUGGGAAAAGAGAAAGAGGUAGAUUGGUUGAGAAAAGAAGAGGAAGAUUGGGUGGC